UUACGGUUAUAUCACGUUGAAACACCGGUUCUCGUCCGAUCACCGAGGUUAAGCAACGUCGAUCCAUGUCAUUUUCUAGAUGGGUGACUACUUGAGAAUACCGGAUGCUGUAAG